rnacentral:rRNA from 1 species
UACGAAGGGGGCUAGCGUUGUUCGGAAUUACUGGGCGUAAAGCGCAUGUAGGCGGCGAUUCAAGUCGGGGGGUGAAAUCCUGAGGCUCAACCUCAGAACUGCCUUCGAUACUGCAUUGCUAGAGUAUGGAAGAGGUAGGUGGAACUGCAAGUGUAGAGGUGAAAUUCGUAGAUAUUUGCAAGAACACCAGUGGCGAAGGCGGCCUACUGGUCCAUCACUGACGCUGAGAGUGCGAAAAGCGUGGGGAGCAAACA